UUUGUCCAACUGAGAUAUGUACAGUAUACUGUGUGUGUGCCUUUCCUCUGCAUUGUUUAUGUUGUUUCUCAUUUGGAGCACUCAGUGAAGCAGAAGGAGAAUACAGAUGAAAGUAAGAUAGAACAUUUUUGUUCUCUACAGAUAGUCAACAACUUCACCUACUCAACAUUCUUACAAUGAUGGACGACUCUCUUUAGCAUUAUACUUCGGAUGUCCGCAUUUUGGCUGAACAGUAAUCACAGGCCUGAAAGAGAGAGAGAGAGAAGGAAUAGAAAGUUUCAUCUAUUUUCAGUGUCUGCAAGACAGCAGUUAGUGUUGAAACCAGCAGCAGGUGCAAUGAAGCAGAACUACUGUGCACAUUAAAAAUGUCAUCUCGUAACAUCUGCAGAAUAAUCUUUUCUUGAAGCAUGAUUUAUAGCCACUAUAUAUUUUAUUUUGCACAACUGUAAUCUCUCAGAAAUUAGAGAGGUCU